AACUUUAGGAACUAGAAAUACAGCCAGCAUUUUCUUGUUCUUGCUCUGCAAGUCACUACAAAUACUCCUAAUAAGGAGGACAGCAAUGAGUGUUUUUCCUGCCCCAGUUUCCAGGAAAGCAAUUGUGUUCUUCGUCUUUGCCUGUUCAAGAACAUCCAAUUGGUAUUGCCGCGCCUGCUCUUCAGGGAGUUUGUUACUUCCAUUUGGCUCUUCAGCUUCCUUCUCUGUCCCUUCGCUGCCACUGCAACUUCUCUGUGGCACUGUCAUGCCAGCUCUGUUUUGAUCAGCUUCCCAAGAACCCAAGUGGAAGACCAUCUCAUUCCUUUCCUUAUCUCUCUCCCAAUAGCCCCUGGCUUCCCUCCAAUCUCUGUCUUUCCGGCUGCUCGCAUAGUGUUGUUGUCUCCUUCUCAUCCGAUCUUUGUGGCACCAAUCCAUCUCAUCU
rnacentral:lncRNA from 1 species